rnacentral:rRNA from 1 species
GACAAACGCUGGCGGCGUGCUUAACACAUGCAAGUCGAACGGAGUACCCUUGAUUGAGGCUUCGGCCAAUUUCUUGGACUACUUAGUGGCGGACGGGUGAGUAACACGUGAGUAACCUGCCCUUGAGUGGGGAAUAACACACCGAAAGGUGUGCUAAUACCGCAUAACAUAUCAGGAUCGCAUGUUUCUGAUAUCAAAGAUUUAUUGCUCAAGGAUGGGCUCGCGGCCGAUUAGGUAGUUGGUGAGGUAAUGGCUCACCAAGCCGACGAUCGGCAGCCGGACUGAGAGGUUGAACGGCCAC